rnacentral:rRNA from 1 species
UACAGGGGGUGCAAACGUUGCUCGGAAUCAUUAGGCGUAAAGCGCACGUAGGCGGUCUGUUAUGUCGGAUGUGAAAGCCCUUGGCUCAACUGAGGAAGUGCAUCCGAAACUGGCAGGCUAGAGUACUAAAGAGGAUCGCGGAAUUCCCGGUGUAGAGGUGAAAUUCGUAGAUAUCGGGAGGAACACCGGUGGCGAAGGCGGCGAUCUGGGUAGAUACUGACGCUGAGGUGCGAAAGCGUGGGGAGCAAACAGG